rnacentral:rRNA from 1 species
GGGUUGUGAGGUUAAGCGACUAAGCGUACACGGUGGAUGCCCUGGCAGUCAGAGGCGAUGAAGGGCGUGCUAAUCUGCGAUAAGCGCCGGUAAGGUGAUAUGAACCGUUAUAACCGGCGAUACCCGAAUGGGGAAACCCAGUGUGACUCGUCACACUAUCAUUAACUGAAUCCAUAGGUUAAUGAGGCGAACCGGGGGAACUGAAACAUCUAAGUACCCCGAGGAAAAGAAAUCAACCGAGAUUCCCCCAGUAGCGGCGAGCGAACGGGGAGGAGCCCAGAGCCUGAAUCAGCAUGUGUGUUAGUGGAAGCGUCUGGAAAGGCGCGCGAUACAGGGUGACAGCCCCGUACACAAAAGCGCAUGUGCUGUGAGCUCGAUGAGUAGGGCGGGACACGUGGUAUCCUGUCUGAAUAUGGGGGGACCAUCCUCCAAGGCUAAAUACUCCUGACUGACCGAUAGUGAACCAGUACCGUGAGGGAAAGGCGAAAAGAACCCCGGCGAGGGGAGUGAAAAAGAACCUGAAACCGUGUACGUACAAGCAGUGGGAGCACCCUGUGUGACUGCGUACCUUUUGUAUAAUGGGUCAGCGACUUAUAUUCUGUAGCAAGGUUAACCGAAUAGGGGAGCCGCAGGGAAACCGAGUCUUAAUUGGGCGUUAAGUUGCAGGGUAUAGACCCGAAACCCGGUGAUCUAGCCAUGGGCAGGUUGAAGGUUGGGUAACACUAACUGGAGGACCGAACCGACUAAUGUUGAAAAAUUAGCGGAUGACCUGUGGCUGGGGGUGAAAGGCCAAUCAAACCGGGAGAUAGCUGGUUCUCCCCGAAAGCUAUUUAGGUAGCGCCUCGUGAAUUCAUCUCCGGGGGUAGAGCACUGUUUCGGCUAGGGGGCCAUCCCGGCUUACCAACCCGAUGCAAACUGCGAAUACCGGAGAAUGUUAUCACGGGAGACACACGGCGGGUGCUAACGUCCGUCGUGAAGAGGGAAACAACCCAGACCGCCAGCUAAGGUCCCAAAGUCAUGGUUAAGUGGGAAACGAUGUGGGAAGGCCCAGACAGCCAGGAUGUUGGCUUAGAAGCAGCCAUCAUUUAAAGAAAGCGUAAUAGCUCACUGGUCGAGUCGGCCUGCGCGGAAGAUGUAACGGGGCUAAACCAUGCACCGAAGCUGCGGCAGCGACGCUGAUGCGUUGUUGGGUAGGGGAGCGUUCUGUAAGCCUGCGAAGGUGGCCUGUGAGGGUUGCUGGAGGUAUCAGAAGUGCGAAUGCUGACAUAAGUAACGAUAAAGCGGGUGAAAAGCCCGCUCGCCGGAAGACCAAGGGUUCCUGUCCAACGUUAAUCGGGGCAGG